rnacentral:rRNA from 1 species
GAUGAACGCUGGCGGCGUGCCUAAUACAUGCAAGUCGAGCGAACGGACGAGAAGCUUGCUUCUCUGAUGUUAGCGGCGGACGGGUGAGUAACACGUGGAUAACCUACCUAUAAGACUGGGAUAACUUCGGGAAACCGGAGCUAAUACCGGAUAAUAUUUUGAACCGCAUGGUUCAAAAGUGAAAGACGGUCUUGCUGUCACUUAUAGAUGGAUCCGCGCUGCAUUAGCUAGUUGGUAAGGUAACGGCUUACCAAGGCAACGAUGCAUAGCCGACCUGAGAGGGUGAUCGGCCACACUGGAACUGAGACACGGUCCAGACUCCUACGGGAGGCAGCAGUAGGGAAUCUUCCGCAAUGGGCGAAAGCCUGACGGAGCAACGCCGCGUGAGUGAUGAAGGUCUUCGGAUCGUAAAACUCUGUUAUUAGGGAAGAACAUAUGUGUAAGUAACUGUGCACACCUUGACGGUACCUAAUCAGAAAGCCACGGCUGACUACGUG